CAGCUUCAUGGUACAUCUCCCCAUCAAAAGAGCUUCUUUUAGAUGGAAAUUCUUUAAAUGUCUGUCUAUGGUGAAGAUGCAAAUUUGCCAUCCAAUAUUAUAGAGGAAUUUUUGAAGCUCUUUGUUUGUGAAAGAAAAUUUCAUAUAUAAAAGUACAGGCUUCUAACAAGAUUAUCACUGCAAAGUGCAAUGCUAAGUCUAGUAUCAGGCUUCUGAUUUCUCCUGGUUAAACAGAAAAAGAGUCGGAGUUGUAACAAAUAUACAUUGACAUGAGAUACAAAAAUAUGAAUAAAACAAAAAAGGAAAAGGAUAAUAACUGGAUUUCAAGGCUAAAAGACCAGGUGAAUUAUAAUUUGUCCAGUAUCGAAGAAAAAUUUACGCAGACUUGCAGAAAAGUAGGCACAAACGCAAACUUAAAAAAUGCCUUAAACGCCAUCACUUACCACUGAGGUAGAAAUUACAAACAUUAACAGCUGGCCAAAAGUUAACAAAAUCAUUUAUGGGAUUCAACACCACCACAAGUAAAGGUCAACAAGCUCAGAAAUGUUGUAUCAAGGAUAACACGCUGGGCUUCCCAACAUGGGGUGAGGGUGAGGGUUGUAUGGGUCCAAAUUUAGACGACCGCGACCGUCGUUGAAUACGACAAGAGACAAGAUCCUCAUAGCUCGACGUCCUGCAGGGGACGACGGACAAGUGAACAAGAGACUGUGACUUUUACAGUAAUGUAGGUCCAUUAGGGAGCAUUAGCAAUAUUCUUUCAAAU
rnacentral:lncRNA from 1 species